rnacentral:rRNA from 1 species
UACGAAGGGGGCUAGCGUUGCUCGGAAUCACUGGGCGUAAAGCGCACGUAGGCGGACUCUUAAGUCGGUGGUGAAAUCCUGGAGCUCAACUCCAGAACUGCCUUCGAUACUGAGAGUCUCGAGUCCGGGAGAGGUGAGUGGAACUGCGAGUGUAGAGGUGAAAUUCGUAGAUAUUCGCAAGAACACCAGUGGCGAAGGCGGCUCACUGGCCCAUUACUGACGCUGAGGUGCGAAAGCGUGGGGAGCAAACAGG